rnacentral:rRNA from 1 species
UCAAAAACCGGUACCCAGUUCGGACUGCAGGCUGAAACUCGCCUGCACGAAGUUGGAGUUGCUAGUAAUCGCAGAUCAGAAUGCUGCGGUGAAUGCGUUCCCGGGUCUUGUACACACCGCCCGUCACACCAUGGAAGUUGGGGGUGCCCAAAGUCGGUUAGAAAAUAGACUGCCUAAGGCAAAACCAAUGACUGGGGUGAAGUCGUAACAAGGUAGC